rnacentral:rRNA from 1 species
AGCAACAAAUGCCCUGCUUCCAGGAAAAGCCUCUAAGCAUCAGGUAACAUCAAAUCGUACCCCAAACCGACACAGGUGGUCAGGUAGAGAAUACCAAGGCGCUUGAGAGAACUCGGGUGAAGGAACUAGGCAAAAUGGUGCCGUAACUUCGGGAGAAGGCACGCUGACACGUAGGUGAAGUGAUUUACUCAUGGAGCUGAAGUCAGUCGAAGAUACCAGCUGGCUGCAACUGUUUAUUAAAAACACAGCACUGUGCAAACACGAAAGUGGACGUAUACGGUGUGACGCCUGCCCGGUGCCGGAAGGUUAAUUGAUGGGGUCAGCGCAAGCGAAGCUCCUGAUCGAAGCCCCGGUAAACGGCGGCCGUAACUAUAACGGUCCUAAGGUAGCGAAAUUCCUUGUCGGGUAAGUUCCGACCUGCACGAAUGGCGUAAUGAUGGCCAGGCUGUCUCCACCCGAGACUCAGUGAAAUUGAACUCGCUGUGAAGAUGCAGUGUACCCGCGGCAAGACGGAAAGACCCCGUGAACCUUUACUAUAGCUUGACACUGAACAUUGAGCCUUGAUGUGUAGGAUAGGUGGGAGGCUUUGAAGCGUGGACGCCAGUCUGCGUGGAGCCGACCUUGAAAUACCACCCUUUAAUGUUUGAUGUUCUAACGUGGACCCGUGAUCCGGGUUGCGGACAGUGUCUGGUGGGUAGUUUGACUGGGGCGGUCUCCUCCUAAAGAGUAACGGAGGAGCACGAAGGUUGGCUAAUCCUGGUCGGACAUCAGGAGGUUAGUGCAAUGGCAUAAGCCAGCUUGACUGCGAGCGUGACGGCGCGAGCAGGUGCGAAAGCAGGUCAUAGUGAUCCGGUGGUUCUGAAUGGAAGGGCCAUCGCUCAACGGAUAAAAGGUACUCCGGGGAUAACAGGCUGAUACCGCCCAAGAGUUCAUAUCGACGGCGGUGUUUGGCACCUCGAUGUCGGCUCAUCACAUCCUGGGGCUGAAGUAGGUCCCAAGGGUAUGGCUGUUCGCCAUUUAAAGUGGUACGCGAGCUGGGUUUAGAACGUCGUGAGACAGUUCGGUCCCUAUCUGCCGUGGGCGCUGGAGAACUGAGGGGGGCUGCUCCUAGUACGAGAGGACCGGAGUGGACGCAUCACUGGUGUUCGGGUUGUCAUGCCAAUGGCACUGCCCGGUAGCUAAAUGCGGAAGAGAUAAGUGCUGAAAGCAUCUAAGCACGAAACUUGCCCCGAGAUGAGUUCUCCCUGAGACUUAGAGUCUCCUGAAGGAACGUUGAAGACGACGACGUUGAUAGGCCGGGUGUGUAAGCGCAGCGAUGCGUUGAGCUAACCGGUACUAAUGAACCGUGAGG